AUUUUCAAAGUAACUCAACUGGAUCCACCUGAAAGUUUAGUCCUAGCACCUGUUGCUCUCCCAGCAGGGCAGAAGAGGAGUUUGAAUAGCCAGUAGUGCACUAGAUUCCUGAUCGGUGGCUGAAAAAAGCCCAACCAAAACAGAAAACAAACAAAACAAAAAACAAACAAACAAAGAAGAAAACCCAAAACACACAAAAAAACAAAACCAGUGCUUUUAAAGGUUGAAAAAGUGACUGUGAAAUAUUUCUCUUUCAUCUGGGAAACAAGAUACUUGUGUUCCAAAGAAUUUACAGAGCACACAACACUAGAUCCACUAUGACUUUACACAAGACUGAUCUUCCUGGAGUGUUUGGGAGUUUUCUGCCAUCUGCCAGUUGUUACUUUCUUGUAACAUUCUGGAAAAUAAAAAAUAUGGAGAAAGGAAAACAAACAUCUCUGUGUAGGUAGCUCUGUAUUCUGCCUAGUCAAUCAAUAUAUUACAAUGGAAAUGGAUGACACCAUGAAUUCCUCUCAUGUAGUUGUAUGCUUAAAAGAAAAGUAUAAGGUAGGUAUGCAAACUGAAAGGAAAAAUAAUACUAUGUGUUGAAGGGCAGAAACCAGUUUGGGAUCUGAAUUUUGGUUUUACAUACAUCCAGGAGAACAGAAGGUUUAAUGAUUACUUCCUCUCUUGUCAUUUCCAAUUUGCCAAUUUAAUUCAUCUUUCGUCAAUAGUUUAUUUAGUUAGAUUUUUUCCUUUGUUUGAGCUUGGGGUAUUUCAGGGUGUUUCCUGCUGGCUGUUCAAAUUGUCUCCAAGAAAUGAGGUAACUGGAAGCUAAAUUGGCAAUGCUUAAGACUGCUAUGAAUAUGUGUGUUCUGAGGCUAAAAAACUUGCUUGGUUUGUUCUUAAAAAUUAUGAAGGGCAAAACUGGUAUUUAGUAGAUUGUUUAGCCUAUUGUCAUUUUAUUAACAUUGUGGGUGUUUUUUCUGUUUUUUUUUAAUUGUUUGUGGGUGAAAAUAAUAUAUAUCUCAAAGAACAAAUAGCUAGCUCUCAAGUUCAUCAAAUAAAAUAUACUGAAUUGGUUAGAAGAAUGUAUUAGUUGAAGCAUCUAAGAAUGUAUACCUUUCAAGACCCAGCCACAACUGUAAAAGUACUCUUAUUUUUCUGACUGUGAUGUUAAACAGAGUCUCCAACACAGCUAGCGGGAGAAGGUCUUUGUUUUCCAUUUUGGUUGUCACCAGUCCAAAAUUCACUUCAUGAGGUGGGGUUGUGGAAAGAGAGGGAAUACCACUCUUCUUCCUAUUACUUACUAUAAACCUGUUAACCUGUUUUGCUCAUUACAUAGCUCCACCAGUUUCCUUCAGAAUAACCUU